GUGGGAUGUCAUCGCCUAAUCAUCAACUCUGACAAUUUUGAGGUGAUUGAGACCAUGCAGGACGGAGGACAUUCAGCGGGAGCGGCGGCGGCAAUCUUCGAUGACUGCUAUCACUAUGCUUGUGACUUUAUCAUGACUAAAUUCGAACAUUAUAAUAGAGAGGCAAAUAAAGUAGCACAUGAACUUGCUAGAUUAGCUAGAUUUUUUUCGACUUCGGAUUGGUUUAAGGAGCCUAUUAAUGAAAUUGUGACGCUUUUCUCACAAACGAUGUAUUGGUUAUUGCUAAUGAAUAAAAUUUCGUUUUAUUUCAAAAAAAAAAUGUUGACGGGAGAGAGACGGAGCCACGUAGCCGAGGCCCUGUUUGGUUUCAAUAAAUCACCUGACUUAUAA
rnacentral:rRNA from 1 species